rnacentral:sRNA from 1 species
GAGGAUCCAAGCGUUAUCCGGAUUCAUUGGGUUUAAAGGGUCCGUAGGCGGGUCUCUAAGUCAGUGGUGAAAGCCGACAGCUCAACUGUCGAACUGCCAUUGAUACUGGAGACCUUGAGUACAAAUGAAGUAGGCGGAAUGAGUCAUGUAGCGGUGAAAUGCAUAGAUAUGACUCAGAACACCGAUUGCGAAGGCAGCUUACUAACGUGUAACUGACGCUGAGGGACGAAAGCGUGGGGAGCGAACAGGAUUAGAUACCCUGGUAGUCCACGCCGUAAACGAUCAUCACUCGCUGUUGGCGAUAUACUGUCAGCGGCCAAGCGAAAGUAUUAAGUGAUGCACCUGGGGAGUACGCCGGCAACGGUGAAACUCAAAGGAAUUGACGGGGGCCCGCUCAAGCGGUGGAGCAUGUGGUUUAAUUCGAUGAUACGCGAGGAACCUUACCAGGGCUUAAAUGUAGUUUGACCGGCUUAGAAAUAGGCUUUCUCUUCGGAGCAAAUUACAAGGUGCUGCAUGGUUGCCGUCAGCUCGUGCCGUGAGGUGUUAGGUUAAGUCCUGCAACGAGCGCAACCCCUAUUCUUAGUUGCCAGCGGUUCGACCGGGGACUCUAAGAAGACUGCCAGCGCAAGCUGUGAGGAAGGUGGGGAUGACGUCAAAUCAUCACGGCCCUUACGUCCUGGGCUACACACGUGCUACAAUGGUAGAGACAGAGGGCAGCCACCUGGCGACAGGGAGCGAAUCCUUAAACUCUAUCUCAGUUCGGAUCGAAGUCUGCAACUCGACUUCGUGAAGCUGGAAUCGCUAGUAAUCGCGCAUCAGCCAUGGCGCGGUGAAUACGUUCCCGGGCCUUGUACACACCGCCCGUCAAGCCAUGGAAGCUGGGGGCACCUGAAGUCGGUAACCGUAAGGAGCCGCCUAGGGUGAAACUGGUAACUAGGGCUAAGUCGUAACAAGGUAGCCGUACCGGAAGGUGUGGCUGGAACACCUCCUUUCUAGAGAAAGAUUAGUUAUGACUCAAAUGUUAAUUAAUAGGUUUUUUCUUUCUUGUUUUCUUAAAUCAAAUCAACCUUUCUGAAGUCUCGUAGCUCAGCCGGUUAGAGCGCUACACUGAUAAUGUAGAGGUCGGCGGUUCGAGUCCGCCCGAGACUACAAUUAAAAAACAGAAGGGGGGAUUAGCUCAGCUGGCUAGAGCGCCUGCCUUGCACGCAGGAGGUCAUCGGUUCGACUCCGAUAUUCUCCACAAGGAUCCUUAUAAUUCGUUAUAAGGGUCACAUUAGUUCUAUGACAUAUUGGUAUGAACAUAUAAAGUAAUCGUAUUAAGAAAGUAAUUAAGGGCAAACGGCGGAUGCCUUGGCUUGCAGAGGCGAUGAAGGACGUGAUAAGCUGCGAUAAGCUGCGGGGAGGUGCACAUGACCUUUGAUCCGUAGAUUU